GGGUUUGAUUAUGGCUCAGAUUGAACGCUGGCGGCAUGCCUUACACAUGCAAGUCGAACGGUAACAGGUCUUCGGAUGCUNACGAGUGGCGAACGGGUGAGUAAUACAUCGGAACGUGCCCGAUCGUGGGGGAUAACGCAGCGAAAGCUGUGCUAAUACCGCAUACGAUCUACGGAUGAAAGCGGGGGAUCGCAAGACCUCGCGCGGACGGAGCGGCCGAUGGCAGAUUAGGUAGUUGGUGGGAUAAAAGCUUACCAAGCC
rnacentral:rRNA from 1 species